UAAUACGGAGGAUCCAAGCGUUAUCCGGAAUCAUUGGGUUUAAAGGGUCCGUAGGCGGCCUUAUAAGUCAGUGGUGAAAUCUCCCCGCUCAACGGGGAAACGGCCAUUGAUACUGUAGGGCUUGAAUUAUUAGGAAGUAACUAGAAUAUGUAGUGUAGCGGUGAAAUGCUUAGAGAUUACAUGGAAUACCAAUUGCGAAGGCAGGUUACUACUAAUUGAUUGACGCUGAUGGACGAAAGCGUGGGUAGCGAACAGGAUUAGAUACCCUGGUAGUCCACGCCGUAAACGAUGGAUACUAGCUGUUGGGGGUAACUUCAGUGGCUAAGCGAAAGUGAUAAGUAUCCCACCUGGGGGGUACGUUCGCAAGAAUGAAACUCAAAGGAAUUGACGGGGGCCCGCACAAGCGGUGGAGCAUGUGGUUUAAUUCGAUGAUACGCGAGGAACCUUACCAAGGCUUAAAUGUCAGGUGACCGCUGCCGAAAGGUGGCUUCCCUUCGGGGCAACUGGCAAGGUGCUGCAUGGCUGUC
rnacentral:rRNA from 1 species